rnacentral:rRNA from 1 species
UACGAAGGGGGCUAGCGUUGUCCGGAAUUAUUGGGCGUAAAGAGCUCGUAGGCGGCUUGUCACGUCGGGUGUGAAAGCUCGGGGCUUAACCCCGGGUCUGCAUUCGAUACGGGCUGGCUGGAGUGUGGUAGGGGAGAUCGGAAUUCCUGGUGUAGCGGUGAAAUGCGCAGAUAUCAGGAGGAACACCGGUGGCGAAGGCGGCAUCCUGGACCGGCAUUGACGCUGAGGAGCGAAAGCCAGGGGAGCAAACGGG